rnacentral:rRNA from 1 species
UACGGGGGGGGCAAGCGUUGUUGGAAUUACUGGGCGUAAAGGGCGCGUAGGCGGCCUUCUAAGUCGGACGUGAAAUCCCUCGGCUUAACCGAGGAACUGCGUCCGAUACUGAAAGGCUUGAAUCCGGGAGAGGGAUGUGGAAUUCCAGGUGUAGCGGUGAAAUGCGUAGAUAUCUGGAGGAACACCGGUGGCGAAGGCGGCAUCCUGGACCGGCAUUGACGCUGAGGCGCGAAAGCUAGGGGAGCAAACGGG